CCUAACACAUGCAAGUCGAACGGUAACAGGAAGAAGCUUGCUUCUUUGCUGACGAGUGGCGGACGGGUGAGUAAUGUCUGGGAAACUGCCUGAUGGAGGGGGAUAACUACUGGAAACGGUAGCUAAUACCGCAUAACGUCGCAAGACCAAAGAGGGGGACCUUCGGGCCUCUUGCCAUCGGAUGUGCCCAGAUGGGAUUAGCUAGUAGGUGGGGUAACGGCUCACCUAGGCGACGAUCCCUAGCUGGUCUGAGAGGAUGACCAGCCACACUGGAACUGAGACACGGUCCAGACUCCUACGGGAGGCAGCAGUGGGGAAUAUUGCACAAUGGGCGCAAGCCUGAUGCAGCCAUGCCGCGUGUAUGAAGAAGGCCUUCGGGUUGUAAAGUACUUUCAGCGGGGAGGAAGGGAGUAAAGUUAAUACCUUUGCUCAUUGACGUUACCCGCAGAAGAAGCACCGGCUAACUCCGUGCCAGCAGCCGCGGUAAUACGGAGGGUGCAAGCGUUAAUCGGAAUUACUGGGCGUAAAGCGCACGCAGGCGGUUUGUUAAGUCAGAUGUGAAAUCCCCGGGCUCAACCUGGGAACUGCAUCUGAUACUGGCAAGCUUGAGUCUCG
rnacentral:rRNA from 1 species